AUUGAACGCUGGCGGCAGGCCUAACACAUGCAAGUCGAACGGUAACAGGAAGCAGCUUGCUGCUUUGCUGACGAGUGGCGGACGGGUGAGUAAUGUCCGGGAAACUGCCUGAUGUAGGGGGAUAACUCCUGGAAACGGUAGCUAAUACCCCAUAACGUCCCAAGACAAAAAAGGGGGACCUCCGGGCCCCUUGCCAUCGGAUAUGCCCCGAUGGGUUAUGCUAGUGGUGGGGGUAACGGCUCCCCCAGGCGAGGCUCCCUAGCUGUUCUGAGAGAAUGACCGGCCAAACUGGAACUGGGACACGGUCCAGACUCCUAGGGGAGGCAGCAGUGGGAAAUAUUGCACAAUGGGCGAAAGCCUGAUGCAGCCAUGCGGCGUGUAUGAAGAAGGCCUUCGGGUUGUAAAGUACUUUGAGCGGGGAGAAAGGGAGUAAAGUUAAUACCUGUGCUCAUUGACGUUACCCGCAGAAGAAGCACCGGCUAACUCCGU
rnacentral:rRNA from 1 species